rnacentral:rRNA from 1 species
CCAAUAGCGUAUAUUAAAGUUGUUGCAGUUAAAAAGCUCGUAGUUGAAUUUCGGGGUCAGCAGGUUGGUCGUGCCACCGGUAUGUACUGGCUUUGCUGAUUCCUCCCUCUUGUAGAACCGUAAUGCCAUUAAUUUGGUGUUGCGGGGAAACAGGACUGUUACUUUGAAAAAAUUAGAGUGUUUAAAGCAGGCUAACGCCUGAAUACAUUAGCAUGGAAUAAUGAAAUAGGACGUUCGAUCCUAUUUUGUUGGUUUCUAGGGUUGACGUAAUGAUUAAUAGGGACAGUUGGGGGCAUUAGUAUUCAAUUGUCAGAGGUGAAAUUCUUGGAUUUAUUGAAGACUAACUACUGCGAAAGCAUUUGCCAAGGAUGUUUUCAUUAAUCAAGAACGAAAGUUAGGGGAUCGAAGACGAUCAGAUACCGUCGUAGUCUUAACCAUAAACUAUGCCGACUAGGGAUCGGAUGAUGUUAAUUUUAUAAUGACUCAUUCGGCGCCUUACG